rnacentral:lncRNA from 1 species
UCCUUCCCCAGGGGCACUCAGAUCCCAUGCCUGGACCAAAGCAUCACAUCAUCCUGAGAUUCUGAGGACUGCCAGGGUAUGUGCACAGACCUGAGGCUUGCUGAGGCACCAUGAAGAGCAGCACAGAGCUUUAAACAUGGUGGUGCAGAGGUUGAGAAACUGCUGCCGUCAUGGAGUUGGCAACCUGUGCUGGCUGAUGUAGUCUUCCUGGCCACACUCAGCCUUUGAAGACGAGAUGUGAAAUGAGGCUGGUCCACAUGGAGAUGUGCUGUGAGUGUGAAAUCCACACCAGCUUUCAGGCUUGGCA